GCCGCUCAUAAAGACAGCCUCCUCGCGGCGAGCGGCGGUAACACGGGUAUUGAGCUCCCCGUGGCAAAUGUCUUU
rnacentral:ribozyme from 1 species